ACGCUCGACACCUACGGGAUGCAGCAGUCGGGAAUAUUGCGCAAUGGAGGAAACUCUGACGCAGUGACGCCGCGUGCAGGAAGAAGGUUUUCGGAUUGUAAACUGCUUUAGACAGGGAAGAAGAAGUGACAGUACCUGUAGAAUAAGCUCCGGCUAACUACGUGCCAGCAGCCGCGGUAAUCUGAGCGGGCUGGCAAGGC
rnacentral:rRNA from 1 species